rnacentral:misc_RNA from 1 species
CUUUCCUCUAUCUCAUAGAUACUCCUAAGCUGUAAGCUUAAGAAUACAAGUCCAUUUAAGGACUGUGAUACUUAUUUACUUAUAUCCAAUGGAGGGAGUAGGGGGUGAGGGUGCCUUAGCAGCAUCACCUGCAGCCCAAUGGGGACAUGAUGCUUGGAGGAUGUAUCAGUAUUAUCUGGAUAAGACUACACCUCAUACAAUCUAUAGGUGGAUAGGGAGUCUUGUUGUAGCGGCUAUUUACUGUUUGCGGGUUUAUUAUGUUCAAGGGUUUUACAUUGUUUCCUACGGGCUUGGAAUAUAUCUACUGAAUUUGCUUAUUGGGUUUUUGUCACCUUUGGUUGAUCCUGAACUUGAACCUUCGGAUGGGCCUUUGUUGCCCACGAAGGGUUCUGAUGAAUUCAAGCCAUUUAUUCGCCGCCUUCCAGAGUUCAAAUUCUGGUAUUCCUU